rnacentral:rRNA from 1 species
UACGUAGGGCGCAAGCGUUGUCCGGAAUUAUUGGGCGUAAAGAGCUCGUAGGCGGUUUGUCGCGUCUGCCGUGAAAGUCCGGGGGCUCAACUCCGGAUCUGCGGUGGGUACGGGCAGACUAGAGUGAUGUAGGGGAGACUGGAAUUCCUGGUGUAGCGGUGAAAUGCGCAGAUAUCAGGAGGAACACCGGAUGGCGAAGGCAGGUCUCUGGGCAUUAACUGACGCUGAGGAGCGAAAGCAUGGGGAGCGAACAG